CACGCCCCUUCGAGGCAGGACGACAGUAUCCAUAUUUGGAUUCUCUUCGGGGGCGGUUGCAAGGCAACAGGACAGCCUCCGAGGAGAGGGCGGCUUCCCGCAGAAGGUGUGUGUGACUGUACACCACGUACACUGCAUUCCAGGCCCUGAUGCUGUGGGCUAGUCUGUUUAUUCUGCUGGGCUGUGUCUGCAGGGUACCACACUGCAGUUUCUCCAUUCUACUCUGCUGGUGUGCACAGUGACGAUACUACAGAGAAAAUCCAUCUAUCCAUCCGUCCAUCCAUUUGUCCAUCCAUCCAUCCAUCCAUUAUCUAAUCUAUUCAUUCCUGGUCAGGGGGGCUGGAGACUAUCCCAGCAUGCUCUGUCCUGGACAAGUCGCCAAUCCAUCGCAGGGCAUACUACAGGCUAAAUCCAUUUCCUUCUGAAUUAGUUUAAGUUUGUAUGAAAGAAGAAUUACUGGACAAAAUAGUCACGUGUAUCAUAUGGUUCACUCCGUGUUGUGUAGCGGCGUGAAACAAAAUCCAAAAUGCAGUCCCCUUCUGGUCCUAUGGACGCUUGACCAAUAAACAUUGCACCUGGAAUUUCCUCACAUCUGAUUAAAUAAUACGGACAUCCACUGCCCUUGAGCAAAACUCACACAAAUCACAUGACGUCAGCCAGGAAAUAAUCCCACACAAGAACAAAAUACCAUAUUUGUGUUCCCCCCCCCACUUCCACAUCCUGCUGUACUGUAUAGCAUUGUCCGACAGGGUCAGUGCAUAUGGGUCUCAGAGAAACCACCCUCUCUGUGCUCUGCCAGCUUCUCAACCUUUUCUUAAACGUAUUGCCAGUUUGCCACGCAGCUGUGGCGCUUAAUGGACUUAGUGUGCUGGUCCCCACGUAGACCGCAAAGCACCAGUGUGGGGACUUUCAGUGUGCUACGAAUACAGUGUGUGAGCAACACGUGUGUGUGCGGAAACUCACUCAUAUACACAUGCACUCACACAGACUUGUAUGAAUUAAUUUUUUGUAUUGCCAGAGGAGAAGCCUAGCAUUGUAAAGAGGUCUAUGAGACGGGCAAGCGCAGACGUAACUGAGACGACUGCAGUCUGUGCCUCUCGGGCAUCCAUCACUGCGGACAGCGACUGAUCACUCCACCCAUAUUGCUCCAUCUGUCAGAAUGUCAGAACAUUAACACAUCGUGAAAAGUACUGUGUGAGUAAUGCUGCUUUCCCUUCAUAAAAAUAAAUGUAGUUAAAAAAGCACAAAAGGCAGGCGAUACAGUGAAAUGGAAUUAUACUCCCCAAGUUUCCCUUUGACCCCCAUGAUUGACCAUAUUAUCCUGUCAGUUGGGAUUAUUUUACAGUUGAAGAGGCAGGGAGUGCGUGUUAAUGGCUACCUUGAAAACAGAGAGGCUUCCGUCAUAAAAC